AGGACUUCAAGUGCCUCCCAAACAUAUCUCAUUCAUCCCCAGGGCAUUUCUCUGGGAAGAUGAGGAAACUAAGUAUGAGAGAAAUUAAAUGACUAGUCUGAUAUCACACAGCUGCUUUCAGGUAGACUCUGAUUGGGACCAACCCUACUUCAUAUUGUUGAAGAGAAAAUAAGACUCACGAAGAAACCCAUUAUAUCAGCAGAGCUGGUCGUCUGAAGCAGG